GAGAAAGAGCACAAGUCACGUCGGGAGCAGACAAGCAUCAUUCACUGCGUCUUGGACAGAGAACUAUCCUGGUCUAAAUGUAUCUGUAUAACGUGGUUCAUUCGCUACUGUGUGGGGCUGCUCAGUCACAGACUGUGCUGCAAAUUCUAAGGGAUGGAAAUCCUACGGAAGGAGAAUGAACAGCAUAGGAGUGUCAGAGGGAAGAGGAAGACAACCACCACAAAGUUGUCCAGAUUAAAAUGCUAAUAUUCUGAAUUUUCUAUUAAAAUUGGAGUAGAAACA